AAGGGAAGAGAGGUCACCCAGGACAAAAGUACAGAAUGGAAAGAAAAAGCAACCAAGCAUGAAAUCUUGGAGAAUAAUGUCCUCAUUUAAGGAUUUUGAGCACCAAGGGCACACUCAGAAAUGAUGAGUCCAGAAAUGAUGCCCUCCAGAACUUCCAGUGAGGAAGGCACUCAGGAAAAUGCAGCGCCCUGAGAGGUCCCAGAAAGGGCAGUCAAGAAGAACACAGUCUGAUGGCGUCAAGUGCAGUGGAGGUUAAGAGCCUCGGCGUCUCCUUCAGAGAUAGAGUGGAUAUUUACUAGCUUCUGUUGUAUCCUUCAUACAGAACCUCGUGCUGAGAGACAGCUUCUUUUUUUGUUUUUUGAACUUUUCUUAAGACUAGUCAAGUACCAUAUCAAGAAGAGGGGAAAGAGUAGAACAGGGAGUUGGAUCUGUAACUGACUGUGAACAAUCGAGGUAAGUCAUUACCUUCGAACCAACCUGGGAGGCAGCCUUGUGACUCAUCUCCUUCCUCAAUCUUCUCAGCUAGUUUACUUUGGCAUGGCUCAGAGGCUGACCUAGAAUGCUCCUGUCCAGAGGGACCCUGGAUGUUCUUAGAGAUAUAGACAGCUAGGGCUGGAAGGGACUUUUCAUCCAAUUCUUCUGUGACAGAGGAGGAAGUGGAGGUUCAGAAGGAGAGGUGAGCUCCAUAUGGUCCUUCAGCUGACCAAUGGAAGUGUUAGGACUGGACUUGAGGGCUCUUCCCUCCAGUCCAGCGCUAUUUAUUCCAUGACAGUGCCUCCCAAACUGUGUUCUCACAGGCAGCUGGUGCUCAGGCAGCUGGACUGAGGCCCUGGCUGCCAAAUCAAAUAUUGGAGGUCUUUCUCCAAUGCACAGAAAAAAAAAAAUUAAUUAAUGGGUUAAGUUUCCUUAGGCUUAAAUGAUUUUUUCCAUUAAUUCUUCUUAAACCAUUGUCACCUGCUACCAAUUGUCUACUAGCCAACAAAAGCAGGCAACAAAACAAAAGGGGAAGCCGCAAGUAAAUAAGAACAAGAACCGCCAAAGCCUUGGAAACACACUUCAUUCUUAAGUUAAAGACUUAAAAAAAAAAAAAAAAAGACUGCUAUGACCAUGGACUUUCGUAUUCACAUAACAAAACCGUGCAUACUACUGGUGACGUUGUUUUGAAUUCAAA